UUUCUCUUUCUUCUUUUUCUCUCUUUUUUUUUUCUUUUUCUUUUCCUUCCUUUGUUUUCUCUCCAAACCAGCCACGGCAAGCUUCAGACCAGCCACCGUCGGAGCUCCAUUUCUGACACGCGCUGGAGCUGCAGCUUCCCUGACCGGCGAUGACGGAAACCCCAAAGUUUGGUGACCAUCGGAGCAAGGACGCGCCUGUACGGCCACUCCGAAGUUUCGCCGUCGAAACUUUGAGGUGACUUUCCGGCGAACUCCGACCACCGUUCGGCGAAUGGGUGGUACCGUUGGAAUCAGCAUCGUGAAAGGAUCGUCGCCCACUAAGUCAUCCCGGUCAACUCGCCAUUUUUCUCCGGCGAGAUUUUGGGUAUCUUCGCUCCUUUGGAAGCAUUUUCCGACGACACCGGAGGUCAUUUGGGCGAAGGAGCUGUACUUUCGUGAUGUACUCAUCGAGAGGAUCGUUUUGAUAUAUGCUAUGCAUAUAUUCGUCGACGUUUCCGGUACUGCCACCAACCGCUAUAGUGCACCGCUUGGGUGGGGUUCCGGAACUUGAAAUUUUAAAUAUGAUCAUAUUAUAUGUCAUUGGACACGAUUUUGAAUAAGGAAUGCUAUGAUGAUAAUCGUUUGCUCAUUUGGUGCACGUAGGAAAAGCGUGAUAUUAAAAUCAGACUAAAUCAUUCUAAGAUCAUCGAUAAGCUUAAGAGCGUUGCUUUGGGCUCGGAUUAAAUUCUAAAGAGGAGCCUAGUGAAGCGAAUGUGGAAAAGUAUGAAUUGUUGCUGAAGCCAAGGUGUUUAGAGCCACAGUCCUAUCUUUUGAACAUUGUAUGUAUUUAAUUUGGAACCUAUCGGUCUGUACAUCUAAAUUAGCUAUGUCUUAGUUAGGAAUGAGGAAUGGUGGAUGCUAAGUAUUAUUUUGGAUAUUUUAUGACUUAUUAAAUUUAACUGUUUGGUGACUACAUAACUGUGGGGAUAUUAUUAUUCUAUGUAUUAAGAUAAAUGAUCCUACUUUUAUCCGUAAUAUUUUUAUAUAUAAUUAUAGGAGUUAUUCCAUUGUUUCGACUUAUAAUUAUAGUAAUAUUUAAUAUAAAUUAAAGGAUCAUUUAUAAAGACUAUUUUCCACCGAGGGUCAAAGUUUGACCUUUGACCACCCAAGUUAUGGAUAUUACAAAUCUGCCACGACCUAGGGCUCGGGUCGUGACAGAAAAAUGGUAUCAGAGCACCGGGUUCAAAUACCUCGGAGUGUGUCACCAAAUAGAUUAAAUUUAUUUUAAAAUAAAGUAUUUUGAUCUAUAAAAGGCAUAUGUAUAUAGAUAGCAUCCAUUCCUCACUAACUGGUUAGCUUUUGAUUUACUGACCUAAGAAAAGCCUCCGAAAGGAAGGACAACAAGGAGAAGGCUUGCAGAUGAUGUCCUUGAGGCUGAGGUUCCUUUUUCGCCAGUUGCAUUCCCUAUGAACGCCUAAAGGUGGAAAGGAUUCCAUGGUUGCUAAAAUAUGGUCGAGGCAUAUAAAGAAGAGUUUAAACAUUAUAGGAACCCCUAUGGAGUAUCAUGUUAAUAUUAAUGUGCCCAAGUUGGGAAGGAGCGCACCAGACUAGUAGGAAGCCUUAAGUAGGAUGAGUGGAAUUGAUGGGAUGAUUUGAGGAAAUUUUGAGAUGGGUUUUCAAAGAACAACAUUUUAACCCAUCUCAUAGGAGGACUUGAUUGGAUCAUUUGAUUUCUUAAGAUCAAUAACAGGUUGAUGAGAUCAUAGAAUGACUAGAUAAUGAUGGAGGUGGGUGAAUGAAUUCUACAUGAAGUUUGUAGAUUUAUCUUCCUAUGUUUAUGUUGGUACGGUCGAUCAACCUCUUUUAAUUGAGCAGUUCCUCCGUCCCUUACUCCCUUCAAUGCUGGGUUCACUUGCCCUUUGGCCUUUGGAAAUUUGAAUGAGUGUGUGACAGCAGCCUUAUGGACUGAGGUUCAUCAAGAAGGAAUCGAAAGAAAGAUUGCCCACACGACAACAGAGGUUCCAACCAUCACAUGGAGGACCCAUCGGGAGUUAUGCAAGGUCUACUCCUUUCAAAGGACAAACUAAGAGUAACCAGCCUCAGACUUCAUCAUAUGGUUUCACACCCACACCAGGGCAACAAUCCCAAUAUCAACAUCAGUUCUAGCCCCAAGGUUCAGGAUUCAACCAGGGGUAAUCGCAGAGUUUUCAAACUCCUAUUUCUGCUAGAAGUUAGAGAGUGUUCAAUCCCGGAGGAGGCUUUAAUGCAAGCACAAGCCAUAUGGUCAAGGAAAAGGGAAAGCAAAGGAAAAAAACCUCUGGUCAAGACUAUGCUCUUAGUAGUGAUGAUGUGCAAGGAGGAGCAUGUCAGGGAGUUGUGGAUGGUGUGAUUCUUAUCUCACACUCUUGAGCUCAUGUAUUAUUUGAUACUGGUGCAUCUCAUUCUUGUAUAUCAUUAAUGUUUGCUAGCAUGUUGGGUUUGAGUUGGGAAAAUUUUAGUCCUACAUUGCAGUUGAGUGUACCUAUGGGAGGGCAUGGUGAAGUAUCAACCAUCUACAAAUCGGUUGUAUUAUGUUUGAAUGGCAUAAUUUAUUAGGAAACCUGAUGGUGUUACCUAUAGGACAAUUUGAUGUGAUUCUUGGCAUGGAUUGGUUGUCUAAGUGCCAAGCCAUUGUUGAUUGCUCACGCAAAAUGGUGGCUCUUUUAACUCCAAGUGGAGAUUUCAUUGUAUAUCGAGCCAACAUGAAUGCAGUAAAGCAGGAUCCUAUCCUUAAGGCAUGUUUAGGUGGGAAAAGAAACUUAGAGUGUUUAUGGGAGUCUGUUUGCAAUUGAGGAUAAGUCUUGCCAAUGAUGCAUGAGUUGUUUGAUCAGCUCAUAUGUUCAAAGUGUUUUUCUAAGAUUGACUUAAGGUCAGACUAUCAUUAAUUGAGGAUUUAGGAAGAGGAUAUUCCUAAAACUAAUUUCAGAACGCGUUAUGGACACUUUGAGUUUUUGGUGAUGUCAUUUGGAUUGACGAAUGCACCUGCAAUAAUUAUGGAUCUUAUGAAUAGAAUCUUUAGACCCUAUUUGGAUAAGUUUGUGUUAGUUUUCAUUAAUGACAUUUUGGUGUAUUCCAAGACACUUGAGGACCACGCAGAGCACUUAGCAAUUGUGUUGUAAACUUUGAGAGAUCGUCAAUUAUAUGCGGAAAGAGAAAUGUGACUUUUGGAUGACCGAGGUCAAAUUCUUAGGGCAUGUAAUAUCUCAAGAAGGCAUUACUAUGGAUCCUACAAAGAUAGAUUCUAGCUUGUAGUAGGAAAGACCAAAGAGCGUUACUGGGGUUCGAAGUUUCUUGGGUUAGCAGGUUACUAUCGUUGCUUCGUGGAGAAUUUUUCUCGAAUUGCUAUGCCUUUGACAAAGCUAACAAGAAAGGGUUUAAAGUUCGUGAGGGAUGAUAGUUGUAAAGAAACUUUCAGAGAACUUAAGCCAAGAUUGACUACGACGACUAUUCUCGCUGUGCCUAAUAGUGAUGAACCGUUUGUGGUAUUCACUGAUGCUUCUGGUACUGGUUUCGGUGGAGUUCUCAUGCCAAAUGGCAAGGUUGUUGCCUAUGUUUCAUGCCAAUUGAAGACACAUGAGAAGAACUACCCCACACAUGACUUGGAACUUGCAGCAGUGAUUUUUACCUUGAAAAUAUGGAGAUGUUACUUAUAUGGGGAUAAGUUUGAAUUAGAAUCUGAUCAUAAGAGUUUAAAGUAUCUCUUUACUCAAAGAGACUUGAAUUUGAGGCAAGGAAGAAGGGUCGAGUGCAGGGCAAAUUAUGAUUUCACUUUGAAAUAUCCUCAUGAGAAAGCAAAUGUGGUUGCUACACCGUGCUACUUCAACAGGUUAAGCAAUGUCAGUGGCAAGAUGAGAAAUUGAGACUUAUCUAGAAUCGAAUCUAAAACGGUGAGUAGUUAGAUGGAUGGACAGUAAAUGCUAAAGGAUUCUUAUACCAUAAGGGAAUAUUAGUCGUUGCAAAUAUCCCUGAUCUUAGAGAGUUUGUUAUGAUCGAGGCCCAUAGGUCUAAGUUUAUUGUACAUCUUGGAAGCACAAAGAUGUACCGAGAUUUGAAAAGACAAUAUUGGUGGGAAGGUAUGAAGAGAGACGUGACUAACUUUGUAGCUAAGAGUAUAGUUUGCCAACGGGUUAAAGCUGAGCACCAGAGACCUUCAGGGUUGCUUCAACCUUUACCUAUACCAGAAUGGAAGUGGGACGAGAUCACAAUGGACUUUGUGAUGGGAUUACCAUUAACACCAUUAAAGCAUGACACUGUCCGGGUGAUUGUCAAUUGUUUGACCAAAUCUACUCAUUUCAUUCCAAUUAGGAAGGAUUGUAAGGUUUCUAAACUAGCUCGACCUUAUGUGGGUAAUAUACUUCAACUGCAUGGAUUGCCUUCCAGCAUUGUUUCUGAGAGAGAUCCUCGAUUUACUUCAAAGUUUUGGCGAGCAUUGCAAGAAGCUUUAGGAACUGAACUUAACUUGAGCACCACUCACCACCCUCAGAAAGAUGGAUAGUUUGAGAGGACUAUCCAAACUUUGGAGGACAUGCUUCGUUCUUGUAUUUUGGAUUUUGGGGGUAGCUGGGGAGAAUACUUGUCAUUGGUGGAAUUCACUUAUAAUAAUAGCUACCAGGCCAGUAUAGGCAUGGCUCCUUAUGAUGCCUUAUAUGGGAGACCAUGCAGAUCACCUUUGUGUUGGGCAGAACCAGAUUAGCAUGUCACAAUUGGAUCUCAAAUUGCUAGUACUACUGGGAAGAUCAAAGUAUUUUUUUUUCUAAGAGAGACUUAAGGUUGUUCAAAGUCAUCAAAAGAGUUAUGCCGAUCUCCUCCGAUGAGAAGUUGAGUUUGAGGUUGGUGACUAUGUCUUCUUGAAAGUUACUCCCAUGCUUGGUGUGACGAGAUUUGGAGUGAAGGGUAAGCUAGCCCCGAGAUAUAUUGGACCUUUCGAGGUUAUCGAGAGGGAUGGGGAGGUCGCUUAUCGAUUGAACUUACUAGCGCGGUUGGGGCAUGUUCACAGUGUGUUCCAUGUGUCGAUGCUGAGGAUGUAUACUCCAGACCCAUCGCACAUCAUUGAGUAUGAGGCUAUCCCUCUUCAAGAGGACGUGGUAUGUGAAGAACAACCUAUCAGAAUUUUAGCGAGAGAGUUAAAGGUGCUAAGGAAUAGAGAGAUUCCCGUAGUGAAGGUCUUAUGGCGGAGCCAUAGAGAAGACAAGGCUACUUGGGAGUUAGAGUUGGAGUUGUACGAGAAGUAUCCUCACUUGUUUAAUUUUCAGCUUGGGGUUGUACUUUGAAAAUUUCGGGACGAAAUUUCUUUAAGGAGGGAAGAAUGUAAAACCCAAGACUUUUUCAGGUUGAAAAGUCAAUUAUGGGAGGGAAAAAAAAAUAAUUUUAAAUCAUAUAUUUGAUUGUUUUCCUUUUCUUCUCCCUCCCUCCCGAACCUUUCUCUUUCUUCUUCUUCUCUCUUUUUUUUUUCUUUUUCUUUUCCUUCCUUUGUUUUCUCUCCAAACCAGCCACGGCAAGCUUCAGACCAGCCACCGUCGGAGCUCCAUUUCUGACACGCGCUGGAGCUGCAGCUUCCCUGACCGGCGAUGACGGAAACCCCAAAGUUUGGUGACCAUCGGAGCAAGGACGCGCCUGUACGGCCACUCCGAAGUUUCGCCGUCGAAACUUUGAGGUGACUUUUCGGCGAACUCCGACCACCGUUCGGCGAAUGGGUGGUACCGUUGGAAUCAGCAUCGUGAAAGGAUCGUCGCCCACUAAGUCAUCCCGGUCAACUCGCCAUUUUUCUCCGGCGAGAUUUUGGGUAUUUUCGCUCCUUUGGAAGCAUUUUCCGACGACACCGGAGGUCAUUUGGGCGAAGGAGCUGUACUUUCGUGAUGUACUCAUCGAGAGGAUCGUUUUGAUAUAUGCUAUGCAUAUAUUCGUCGACGUUUCCGGUACUGCCACCAACCGCUAUAGUGCACCGCUUGGGUGGGGUUCCGGAACUUGAAAUUUUAAAUAUGAUCAUAUUAUAUGUCAUUGGACACGAUUUUGAAUAAGGAAUGCUAUGAUGAUAAUCGUUUGCUCAUUUGGUGCACGUAGGAAAAGCGUGAUAUUAAAAUCAGACUAAAUCAUUCUAAGAUCAUCGAUAAGCUUAAGAGCGUUGCUUUGGGCUCGGAUUAAAUUCUAAAGAGGUAGGGACUCAACUAGACUAUUGGACUUAUUUUACUCAUAUUAAAUUGCAUUCAACAUAUUCCAAUUUUGAUAUUUAUAAAAUGUUUGAAAAAUUGAAAACUUAACCUGCAUGUUUUCUGAUCUGUUCUGAGGGCACCGAGUGCCAAAUAUAUAUUUUUGUUCACUUAUUUAUGCAGGUUAUGAUUUUUGGGUUUAUUCAAAUGUAGCUGUUAUGCUGCCCAAUUUUCUAAAAUAUAAAGGGAAUAUGUUUGUUUCUUUUAAUGUUUACCUGCAUUUGGUUAUACUGAUGAGAGCCAUAGUGGUCAUGAUUGGUGCACGUUGUUGUUUCACGACCUAGUCUCUGUGUCAUCAUAGGUAGAUCAGGUGUCCACUCACCUGUAGGUGUAAAGACCUAGUGUCUGUAUACAGGAAGUGUUCUGAGCCUCCCCCUUGUGGUGGUUAUCAGGUCCGGCUACCCGGUUUAGGAUGUCGGAUUUUCUAUGGUGGGUAACGGGAACUAGGGAUCUAGUGGACGGUGUGAUGUGCACUUGUAGCUAUGCUCUUAUGAUUAUUUGUGGUAUCUCUAUUUUGGUUUAUACAUGAUGAUGUAUGUUUUGUUUUAAAAAGCUAACCAUGCAGGGGUUUUUAUUGAACUUUUGAGUCCGAUGUUGUUAGUUGCUUUCCUACUGGGCUUUAUGAGCUCACCCCUAUCUCUCCCAUUCCAGGAGCCUAGUGAAGCGAAUGUGGAAAAGUAUGAAUUGUUGCUGAAGCCAAGGUGUUUAGAGCCACAGUCCUAUCUUUUGAACAUUGUAUGUAUUUAAUUUGGAACCUAUCGGUCUGUACAUCUAAAUUAGCUAUGUCUUAGUUAGGAAUGAGGAAUGGUGGAUGCUAAGUAUUAUUUUGGAUAUUUUAUGACUUAUUAAAUUUAACUGUUUGGUGACUACAUAACUGUGGGGAUAUUAUUAUUCUAUGUAUUAAGAUAAAUGAUCCUACUUUUAUCCGUAA